rnacentral:rRNA from 1 species
UACGUAGGGUGCAAGCGUUAAUCGGAAUUACUGGGCGUAAAGCGUGCGCAGGCGGUCGCACAAGACAGAUGUGAAAUCCCCGGGCUUAACCUGGGAACUGCAUUUGUGACUGUGCGGCUGGAGUGCGGCAGAGGGGGAUGGAAUUCCGCGUGUAGCAGUGAAAUGCGUAGAUAUGCGGAGGAACACCGAUGGCGAAGGCAAUCCCCUGGGCCUGCACUGACGCUCAUGCACGAAAGCGUGGGGAGCAAACAGG